AGCAGGGCAGGAUUCAAUUUUCUGCCACCGAAUACAUUAGCAUGGGAUAAUGGAAUAGGACCCUGUCCUCCUAUUUUCAGUUGGUUUUGGCAGCGCGAGGACUAGGGUAAUGAUUAAUAGGGAUAGUUGGGGGCAUUAAUAUUUAAUUGUCAGAGGUGAAAUUCUUGGAUUUAUGAAAGAUUAACUUCUGCGAAAGCAUCUGCCAAGGAUGUUUUCAUUAAUCAAGAACGAAAGUUAGGGGAUCGAAGACGAUCAGAUACCGUCGUAGUCUUAACCAUAAACGAUGCCGACCAGCGAUUAGGAGACGUUGAAUACAAAACACCACCAUCGGCGCGGUCGUCCUUGGCGUUCGUGUUCACGCACGAGCGCGAGGGCGGUUUAGCCCGAUGGCACCGGUGAAUGACUCCCUAGCACAUUGUGAGAACGUGGACGA
rnacentral:rRNA from 1 species